GGCGGACGGGUGAGUAACGCGUAGGAAUCUACCUAAUGGUGGGGGAUAGCCCAGGGAAACUUGGAUUAAUACCGCAUAAGUCCUAAGGGAGAAAGCGGGGGAUCUUCGGACCUCGUGCCAUUAGAUGAGCCUGCGUAAGAUUAGCUAGUUGGUGAGGUAAGAGCUCACCAAGGCGACGAUCUUUAGCUGGUCUGAGAGGAUGAUCAGCCACACUGGGACUGAGACACGGCCCAGACUCCUACGGGAGGCAGCAGUGGGGAAUAUUGGACAAUGGGGGCAACCCUGAUCCAGCCAUGCCGCGUGUGUGAAGAAGGCCUUCGGGUUGUAAAGCACUUUCAGCAGUGAGGAAAGGUUACAGAUUAAUACUCUGUAGCUGUGACGUUAACUGCAGAAGAAGGACCGGCUAACUCCGUGCCAGCAGCCGCGGUAAUACGGAGGGUCCGAGCGUUAAUCGGAAUUACUGGGCGUGAAGCGCGC
rnacentral:rRNA from 1 species